rnacentral:tRNA from 1 species
AAGAAUUUAAGUUAAAAAAACUAUUAGCCUUCAAAGCCAAAAUUAGAACAAUUUCUAAUUCUUA